AAAUACAGCAAACUGAAAACAAAACUUUUUAUAAAAUGACAACUGAAUCAAAUCAAUUAAAUCAAAAAAUCAAAUUAAAGUGGUUGGAUUCAUUUUAACUGAAUUAUGCUCAGCUUUAACUUUAUUCAAAAAAGGUUUAGCAAGCCUAUGCUUGCUAAGCCACUUUCAGAUAGCAACAUAGUGGUAACUUCCAAUUGGGAUUGGGAAUAGGCACGCUUCGUCUGCUAGCCAG
rnacentral:misc_RNA from 1 species